rnacentral:lncRNA from 1 species
CCGCCGUUGAUUCCGGCCGGGGAGAAGAAGACACCAAGCGCAGCAGGAAGAGGAUGAACGAGGAGGUGCAUGAAUGUGACAGUACCCUCAUCAAUGGGGGAUCCCCUUUUCGUGUCUCACGAGGAAAACCAGGCUCCUUAGACGACAGCUUUGAGUAUUGCGUGAAAACAAUCCGGAUGCUGGAAUGUGGAGGUCACAUCGAUCAGGAAUUCA